rnacentral:misc_RNA from 1 species
AAGGUCGGUAUCGGUGAUCCUCAUCCUUAUCUGCCACAUAAAAAACGUUCCUUUGAAUAUGCCCAUUGCAUAAUUAUAAGAAAAAGCCUGCAACUUCCUUCGAAGCCAAGCCACAAGAGAACUUUCUUUGUAUCAUCUCGCUAUCUCUGGCCUCUUUCCCUGCUUUAUCGGUAAAAACCCUUGUUUUUCUCUGUUCAAGGAAGAGAAAAGGCUCGGACUUUGAUCGAAUCUGAGUUUCGAUUCCCAAAAUGGCAUCUGGAUCGUCGGGUCGUGCCAACUCGGGCUCGAAGGGAUUCGAUUUUGGGUCCGAUGACAUUCUUUGCUCUUAUGAAGAUUACGGCAAUCAGGACUCUUCCAAUGGAACUCAUUCGGAUCCUGUGAUCGGUACUAAUUCCAGCAAGGAUUUUCACAAAAGUAGAAUGGCUAGGUCAUCUGUCUUCCCUGCCACUUCCUAUGGCCAGCCAGAAGAUUCUCUCAACAAAGAUAUUAUCUCUAUUUUUGAGAAAGGCAUGAAAAAACAUACCGAUAACCUAAUGCGCUUUCUUGAAGGGAUCAGCUCACGGAUGUCUCAAUUGGAAUUGUAUUGCUACAACCUUGACAAAUCAAUUGGAGAAAUGCGAUCUGAUUUAGUUCGUGACCAUGGAGAGGCAGAUACAAAGCUUAAAUCUCUAGAGAAACAUCUUCAAGAGGUGCACAGGUCUGUCCAGAUCCUGAGAGACAAACAAGAGCUUGCUGAGACUCAAAAAGAAUUAGCGAAGCUUCAACUUGUGCAGAAGGAGUCCUCUUCAUCAAGCCAUUCCCAAUCUGAGGAAAAAACUUCACCACCAGCCUCUGAAUCCAAGAAAGCCGACAACACACCUGAAAUACAUAACCAACAGUUGGCUCUUGCUUUGCCCCGCCAAGUAGUGCCACAGCAACAGCCUGCACCUGUGCCCCCACUGACCCAAGCACGACCUCAGAACGUGACCCAACAGCAAUCUUAUUAUUUGCCUCCAGCCCAAACCCAGCACCCUCAGAGCCAAUAUCUUGCUUCUGAUCCUCAAUAUCGAACACCCCAAAUGCAAGACAUCUCUAGGAUGGCUCCACAGCCAACACAGAAUCAAAUAAAUCAGACACCACAGGGCCAACAAUUUCCUCAGUAUCAGCAGCAGUGGCCCCAACAGUUACCACAGCAACAGUUACCACAGCAGGUACAAGCAUCGCAACAGUCUGCCAUACAGCCGCAGAUAAGGCCCUCAUCACCAUCAGUUUAUCCUACUUAUCCACCCCCAGGCCAACCGACGAAUUCAUCCCCACCAGAGACACUGCCAAACAGCAUGCCUAUGCAAGUGUCGUAUGCAGCGGUACCUCAACCCUUACCUAGUCGUGCUGAUGCCAUACCUUAUGGAUUUGGAGCCGGUAGAACUGUUCCUCAGCAAACCCCACCACAGCAAAUUAAGGGCACUUAUGGAGCACAACCUGGUGAUGGAUAUGCAACUGCUGGUCCCCAUUCCGCACUUCCCACAGGGAGUACAUACAUGAUUUAUGAUAGUGAAGGGGGAAGAACACAUCAACAACCUCACUUUCCACAGGCUGGAUAUUCACCGGCAAAUAUUGGUCUCCAAAAUCCUCUGCCAGCUACUGGCACAAAUAUGUUAGCUCGCAAUCCAAGCCAUUCACACUAUAUUCGCAACCAUCCCUAUAGUGAGUUGAUUGAGAAGACGGUAAACAUGGGUUUCAGAGGUGAUAUUGUUGUGAGUGUGAUACAGAGGAUGGAGGAGAGCGGUCAGCCUGUGGAUUUCAAUGCUGUGCUUGAUCGGUUGAAUGUGCAUUCUUCUGGAGGUCCUCAGAGGGGAUGGUCAGGGUGAUUUGGGUUUUAAACCUUCCAUUGUAGUAACGAUGAUGUUUAAGUUAGACUUGAAUUUGAAUAAAUGCUGUUAUGAUGCAGGAUCUCUUGGAGUAGUAUGUAUAUCAUGUAUCUUGAAGGGUCAUAUUUUGCUAAUUCCUCCUCUGUUGCUAGUGUUAUGGAUUUCUCCCUGUGAUUUUUUUAGGAGGGGAAAAAUCCAGUUGGAUUAUUAGGCCUUUUAAGGAUCAUAGAUUUGUGUGAAAUUUAGGCUUGCCAAGCAUGGCACUUAUGGUUCCUUUGAAUAAAGUUUCGCUUUCACGGUCCCUCUGCAUGGCCUUUUCUUGUUUGUGUC